AGGAAAAAAAGACUUCCCUAAUUAUUCCUGAUUAGAAAAGAUUUUACCGUUGAACGAGUAAUAUUAAGUGUCCAUUUUCAGAAGAGCAUCCAAAACCUUCAUUUCCCUUUUCCUUUCACCCAACUGUGAAACCCACUGCAUCAGAAUCCUGCGAUUCUCCUAGGGCUGAAAUCCUCAAUUUCAGUAUUAAUCAAAAUGCCUCUCUUCCGUUCCUUGUUUCUGUGAUGCUAUUUGAUUUCUGUUUCUUCUGUAGAUUGAAAUGAAAAUAUAGUUCUUACUGGGGAAAUGGGUUUAUUCUCAAGCAUUUGACAUUGCUGUAGCAGUCAUAGAACGAAGAGAAGAAAAGAGUAACUCUAGGCUUUCUAAAUCUAGCAUCUCGUUUCGUAGUUCUUAGUGCUUAUUCUUCAAUGGGUUUAAUGUGCGAUCAAUUUCUUUAAUUUCGGCUUUCUAUUGGCAAGAUAAAAUUAUAUAUUUUUGUCCUUUUGUUUGUUUUUCUAAUUGUUAGAGCUUUUCAUUUGUUAUUCUUGAAAAAAGAUACAUGCACUCUUCUUUUGUUUGAUUCAAUUUCGUGAAAAAAUAAAUAUUAAGAAGAAAUUGUAGUUCAAAAGCGCCAUGAUAAGAGCUGAUGAAGCUGGAGAACUGUUGAUGUUAAUGCAGUUCAGCGACGUCGUUUCUUCAUUUGAUAAUGACGACUCUAACGCUUCCUCGCAUCUGUAAUCCUUCUCAUGGUACAAUUUUUUCUCGGUCCUAAAGUUCCUAAAUUUAAAAUUAAUAUCUGAGUUUUCUCUUUCUUCAUUUAACAAAUAAAACCAUGCGGCAAUGUCGACAUGAAGGAGAAGUGCAAUUUAAUCACACAACUCAUGUCUAAGAUUUCAGCUUCUUUUCUAGAUGAAGCCUUGCUCUUAUGUUCUGCAAUGGCUGCGGCUCAGGCUGCCCCGGUUGAAGAUAAAGAUCUGCAUUUUCCCUCCUGCCAAUGCUUGAAACUUGUGUAUCUUUAUGCUAAUUGUUUAUUCAAUGCCUAAGGUGAUAUCAAAAAUUCUGCCAAUUCAAUUGCAUUAAAAUUUGUUUGACUUUAUUUUAAUUUUAAUUUUAUAUAUUUUAGAUUUCAGCUUCUUUUCUAGAGGAAGCGCUGCUUUUAUUUAAAUUAAAUAUUGGAAAAAGGAAAACAAGGUUUUAGGUUGCAUUUUUAUUGUUUAUUUAUUCUUUAACAUAUUUUUAUUGGCCAUUGUGUUUGAAUAAAUGUGUGUCUUUGUAUAUAUAGAGGGAGAGAUUAUAUAUUUAAAAUGAUAAGUACUAUGAUUUCAUUUUCCUCAUAAGUUGUUCAAAUGUUAUAUCAACUGCUUGUGAUAAUAAUGAAUUGCUUGCUUUUAGUCUAGAAGUGCUUCGUUAUUCUAAACAAUUGUUGCUUCCUGUUUAUUGAUUUUGAUGUGAUUGUUUGUGCUUGUAUCAUUCUGAUGCUAAUUAAUCAUCAAAAAGAAUGUCGCCACUAUCCAAAAAGGCUAAUUGGAUAGCGAAAGUGGGGACGUCUCGGCGUCCAAGAGGAUCAGAUUCUUGAUAUUUAGAGAAUUAUGGUCCAUUAGAGUUUGAAAUGAACCUAUAAAUAAAGUAUGUAUCUAUAUUGCUUUGAAAAUAUUGUAAGCAUUGAAAAGAUGAUUGAAACUAUUUUUAAAAUGGUGUUGUCAUUUUUCUAAGUUUCGAACUUGAGCCUUGUGUUCAAUGGUCUUUCAAUAGUCUGCAUAUGUAUCGAGUCGCACGUGUUCACUCAUGCAUCAUCAAUUCACAUGUCAAAUACAUUAAGUAGCAUAUUGGUUGUCGGUCUCAAACAGAAUGAUGCAAGUUUAAAAUAAAGAGAAAAUGAAAAAGUAUACUAAAAUAGAUUUUACUAAGAAUUAUCAAAAAAUUUGAAUGGUUUGAACAAGAUUCACAAUGCACCAAAGUUCUCUAUAUGGAUGACAUUCGAACAAGAGUUAGAUUGCACUCGAGAUGUCACAAUAAACUGUAAAGAUUCAGUCGUGGUGCUUGCAAGUGCAUAAUGAUAUGAUUGCUUUUCGUGAAAUGUAUGUGAUUGCUCAGUGAGGUUUUAAAUAAUAAUUAUCAUUGUGUAUCACAGUUGAGUGGAUGCUUCAUGUUUAUUCUGACAACAUGUUGAUAUGAUUUUGAGUCGAGUUUCUCAUUUGAAAAUGUUUUAAAACUUGUAUAUUCUUUAUAAUUUUUACUAUUCACUAUACUCUUCCUUUGAUUAUCUCUUUGUAUGUCUAUGGUAAAAGCUUCUUUGAUUAAAUCCAACUCCAUAGCUCUCCUGGCUAUUCUUUAAGCUUGCUUAAGAUACUAAUUUCUUGUUGACAGGCCUGAGUUGGGUUUAGUAAUUUUGGGCAUGUGAUAUUAUGACUGGAUUGGAAAUUGAUGCUUGUUAGAUUUGAUCAAUGUUUGAAGAUUAAACUUGAAGUCCAUAAGGAUUGGGUUGGCACAAGCGAUGUUGAAGGUUGUUUAGAGUUUAAAUUGGAGAACUGAUGAUGAGUUUGAAGCUAUCAACUCUAAGAAUUACAUUGUUUGAGGAUGAUUCUUGGGCUAACUUUAACUUUCUUAUUUUCUUAUUUUGUUCACUAUCUCCAUUUCUAUUUCUAAGGUUAGCACUUCAACCUCAUCUCUGCAUAAUUCAAUAACUAUUCUUUAAUUUUAUUUAGUUGCAUGAAGUGAGUAAGGGCUUUGGGUUACUUUAAAUGAUGAUUAUUGACCGUGCUUGAUUUGUGUUUAUGGCUUAAUUGUUGUAUUGUGGCAUGAGAUGUUAGAUUGGUGCUAUGCCAAAUUAUGUGAAUCUUAGGUUGGUCCUUUUUUAGUGCGAACUUGAUUGGAAUUUUGGAUUUCUGUCCCCUGUGUGACAGUCCACCUGUUUGAGCAUUAUCUAAAGUUCCAGAACUCCAAAUGAGGCAAAAUCUGAACCUAUAGAAACUUUGAUCCGUCCUCUAAAACUAUUUAUUUUGUGGAAGUCCUAAUUCUGCAAAUUGAGUAUUAGAUUUUUAUGGUCAAUCUGACCUGACAGAUUGACCUAUCUACAUUGUUUUAUUUAGUCCUCCUUGUUCACAAGACCAAUUGGAAAUGAAGGUAGACUUAAUGCCCUUAUGAUCUGGAAAAGAUGGUACUAAUAAAGCUUCCUAGAAUUUUUUGUGACAAUUUUAAGUAGAGCCUCAUAAAUCUGUUAUAGAUGAUAGUUUGUUGAUUAUGUGUAAAUAGUAUUUUUAGAUUAUUAAUUGCUUGAGAAAAUCUAUAUUUUUGAUGCCAUGUGAUUAAUAGGUGAUAUAUUUAUUGAUACAUUGCUGGUGGGAGCUAUGGUUUGGUAAUUAAGGGUUGAUUUAAUUUUUGUUUGCUAAGUCCUGAAUUUUGUUCUAAGUCUUUUCUUGACAGUCAAAAUUGAAAAUUCAUACACCAAAUUCUAUGACACAUGAAUGGUUGAUUUUUGUGCAUGUUGUUUCCCCGUCUAUGUAGUUUAUGUGUAUAAAAGGGCACUUUAGUCCAACGGCAUGAUCUUGACUUAUGGCCGUUUUUUAGGGAAUACCUGGAGAGAAUUUUCUAAACUAGAAUUAGGGAUCUUCCUUGUUUCUUUGGAUUGCUUUCUAGCUUGGAAAUUGCAAUUACCCCUUAAUUCAAUGAAUAUCUGAGAGGCUUCGAUACAAGAAUUUAUGGGAUUUAGCCCUUAGUUUAAGUUGAAAGUGGUGCCUGAUUCAAUCUGAUAUAAUCUGAUUAGAUCUUUUAUUAUUGCACUGGUUUUGAUAUCAAUUUCAUGAUACUUAAUUUAAAACUUGCCAUCAACAUAAAGGAAAGUGUUUUUUAGAACUUUUUAUGUUAAGACUGAUAUCCAAGUUGUGUCACGCAUAGAUUCUUAUGGUGAAUGAAUAUAGAAAUAGAGUACACCCUCCCCUCCAUGAUUUAUCCGAUUAUAACACUUUCUUCUUUUAUGAUGCACAUUGAUAAAGUUUAUUUGUUAUACAAUUUGAAAUAUAGUUCUGCAUCUAUAUAACAAAAAAAAAGCAAAGCAUAAUGUUGUUGGUUUUUAACAUAUCAUUUUAGUUCUGCAUUUACCGAUAUUUUACUCUUCUUUUUGUAACCUGACAUCAAAUGGGAUGAAGUGUAGCUUUCCCUGGUCAUCCUCUGGAUUCUGGUUUGACUCUUGCAGCUGCGAAGGCAAGGAAUUUUGUACUGAAGAAUUCACAUUGAUUUCAGAUGGUGCUUCGUUGGGGUCCAUUGAUCAAGUCGCAUUUGAUUAGAUGCUAAAAUUUUGGCACAUAACCUUUAUCUAGGCUUUGCAGAGUGGAUCUAUUAUUAUCAACCAUAGACCUAUGGGACAUUUCUAUAUUGUUUAUUUCAAGUAUUUGCCUAUAUGUUUAGGAACCAGGUCCUGAAGCUGGAACUCCUGUCAGGACUUCACCGAUUGAUGCUCAUGCUGGUGAUGUGGGGAUCAUGGAGAGUGUUCCACUUCUUGAUGUAGAUUCUGAUGUUAAAGAGUAUAAUAAGGAAGCAAUAUGUCGUUGUAUAGCUUUAGUCUGUGGUACUUCUACUCGUCAUAUGGCUGUAUUACAGAGCAAGCUGUUCGUUCCUGGAGUUUGGGGACCAUUUUGGUCAGUAUUGCAGCUUAAGUGAUUCGCGAAGUUGUUAAAGGCACACCUGGGGUACAAGGUGCACGAAGCACAAGCCCUAGCACCUCAAACGCUAAAAGGUCUUAAGCAUACCAAAUUAAAAUGAAACAAUUACAAGAAAGAAAGAAGCCCAUGUUGCUUUAGAUAAGACACAAAUUGUCUACAUGAGGGGGAUAAGACAUUACUGCUAUAAUUAUUCUACAUCACACAACUAGACAUUUCGUUGUUCGAACUAUUGAACAAUAUUUUGAGGACUAUAAUGGAUGACCUAAAGGCUGCAUUUGCUGCUUUAACAUAAGAUGUAUAUGUCCUUCCCGACUUUCAAAACAGAUUGACAUGCUGCUUGCAUGUAGUGGCCUUUCAAGAAACUGUGUCUGUUCAAGAACAUGCAGAUAUUAUUGGUUGCCCUAUUGUACUACCACGAGUAUUAGGUGCUGUUGCCGCAAAAUAUGCUGGUCUCAUUGAGGCCAUGAUGGCCCUGAAUGCAGUCGGUCAGGGAUGCAUGAGCUCUUGUUUCUAAAUCUUCAAUUCAUAACUUUUAUGACAUAACUAGGUCAUUCAUCCAUCAAAAGACUCAAAGUUGAAGCAGUAUCAUGAUGCCAAAUACCGAGUAUCCGAGAAAUUUAUGAGCAGCAACUAUCUCAACAUGCAUUAAUUGCUAAAGCUUUGGAAUAGGUCCUGCUGCUUCUCAGGAGUUGUGUAAACUUAUGCAGGAUCGUAGAAGUUUGAUAAAAUCUCAGAAAAAAAUCUUUGUAAAGUUAAUUGGCAUUUUCACCAGGUUGCCCUAUUGCACUACCACGAGAAAGCAAGCCUGUUGUAUUGGGUGCUGCUAUUCUUGGUGCUGUUGCUGCAAAAAAUAUGCCAAUCUCUAUGAGGCGACGAGGGCCCUGAAUGCAGCCAGUCAGUAUAAGCUUGUUAGACAUGGUUCAUGCUGAAGAUUGAAGCUUGAAGCUUGAAGAAUAUAAGGUUUGGGUCAGAACAAGUGCUCUUUGUUUAGAGUUUCAAUUUAAGAACUGCUGAUGACUUUGAACCUAGUAACUUGAAGAGUUAAGUAGUUUUAGGGUGAUUCUUCGAGUAAUUAUGACUUCUUAAUUUUCUUAUUUUCUUUGAGUAACUUAAUUUUCUAUUUCUAAGGUUAGUACAUGUAUCUCAUCUCUAAAUAAUUUUAUGAUUGGGUAGCUAAUUUUUAAUUUUAUUAAAUUACAUGACGGAGUGAGUAAAAGCUUUGGGUUAUUUCAAAUGAUGCUUAUUGACUAUGAUGGAUUACUUUAAAUUUUUUGAAUGGCUUUUUUGUUUGUUUUUUGAAUUGAAUUAUUUGUGAUAUAGUCAGAUAAGAAUUAAUGUGUUUACCAUGUUUGUAGGAUGGGUAAAAUAUAGAAUUUGUAAACUCUAAUUUGUAUAUUUAUAAUUAGAUAAUCCGGAGUCAUCAAGCGCACCGAGUGUUGUACUGUAAGUAGUAUAUUAUAUAUAUAUAUAUAUAUAUAUAUAUAUCUACGUAUAAGCAUUAUCUCCUCUCCCUUUACUAUCUUUUUUUUAACUUCCAACCCUAAUCCUAAAAAUUACCUACUCAAUUUUUGUUUCUUUUCUCUUCUUUUUCCAUUUUACAUCUACAACUCAUUUUUCUAAUUGUUCCAUUCGCAACUCAUAUAUCCUCAUUCUUAUCUUUGAGAAUAGCUCUCUCUACUUCACCAUAUUCGAGUGCUAUAUCCAAAUCUCGGCCUAGUUAUUAUAUGACCAACCAUGAUAAUAAGUACUUACAAAGGCCAUUUUCUGGUUGGAUUGAAAGUGCCAGGUAAUUUUUUUUUUUCAUUUAUUUUUUUUAGGAUUAGUGAUGUUUGAAUUUUGAUACAGUUUUAAUUUUAUCUCAGAUGUAAAAUGAAAAGAUAAAAAAGAAAAAUUGAGUAGGUAAUUUUUUGAUAUUGGAACUAGAAGUAAACAAAAAUAAUAGGAUAUGAUUAGGAUAAAAAAUAGGGUUCACUGCUUAAAUAACAUUUCCUUAGUUGUUUCCCAGCAGCCCUUUUGAUCAGUACUCUGCCUGUAACUUUUGCCAUGGUUGCAAUCAUUUAAAACCGGGGCCUAACAAACAAAUCUAAAGUAGCUCUAAAAAGACAAUGGAGCAAAAAAAAUGCUAUGCGUAGAAAGCCUAUUUAUUGUUGUAUCUUUAUUUAAUAAUUAAUGGAAUGUAUAUUUAUUGAGGAAAUCACGCUCUAUAUCCCAUUUUUUUGAAACUAUUAUAAUCUUACCCUGUUUCUUUGUUUA